GCCAAUGUGGUGCAAUGGUUUGAGUGUUGGACUAGGACUCUGGAGAUCAGGGGUUCGAAUCUCCACUCAGCCA